rnacentral:lncRNA from 10 species
GUUCCUAGCAAAACUGUAUCCUUGAACCCCACCUCAAGAUGGCGCCCCAACCCUAGCCACCGCUCACUUUCUCCUUGGCUGCCUGGCGGGUCUUCUCAUCCAUCCAAACCAGCUGUCCCAGGGCCUCCUCAAAUGCGGUCCGGAUUUCGCUGAUCAUCCCCUCUGCCUGGGAGGGAGGAGAUCCCAGCACAGGAGGCUUCCUGAAGGCAACCAGUGACAUGCUGACAGCCAAACCGAAGUCUUUCCUCUUGCCCCUUCCAAAGGGUUGAAGGAUGUGGUUCUCUCCCAAAUUGUAAAAAUUAUCUCCUCCCCUGACUCAGAUGAUGUCAAAAUCACACAUCUGUUCACAUCACUUUUGAGUUUCCCUUUCCAUUUCUUUCGGGAUGAAUCCUAAAUUUGGCCCACAAUGCUCCUGCAUAGUGUGAGGCUAUGGGCCUGUCCAGAAGGCCUUGGCCCGCAUGCCCCUCCUGCUCCCUCAUCCAUUGAGAAUGGCCAGUGGGCUGGCCAUAUGCCUUCCCACCUUGGAGCCUUUGCAUAACCUGUUGCCUUUGUAGAGCCCUCUCCCUUCAUUGCAGCCUAUCCGCACCCUGGAACUAGGCAGGUUCCUGGUCACACUUGCUCUCAGAACCCUAUGCUUCUCCUCUAUAAUAGUCCCAACAACUGGAAACAGGACAACUGUGUAGCGAACUGUUUUAUGCCUUCUCCUCCACUCAGAGGGUAGUAGAAGUGUCUUGUUCACCAUAUGCCUAGAGGAGGGUCUGGCCAAGGGAUGCUCAGCAGAUGUUUCUGAAUGAAUGACAGAAGGACAAAUGGUUGUCCUACUCCACAGCAAUCUCUUUUGCUGACUCUCCCACUGCCCUUAAAAUACAAGGAUCUCCUUCUGUCCUUUCUCUGUCCUCCUCCUGUCUCACCUCUUCAAAGCCUUUGUUUAGGUUUCUUUUUCCUUUUCUUUCUUUUUUUUUUUUUUGAGACAGAGUCUUGCUCUGUU